rfam:Yarrowia lipolytica strain CLIB122 chromosome B complete sequence.
GCCUGGUUGGCUCAGUUGGUUAGAGCGUUAGUCUCAUAAUCUGAAGAUCACCAGUUCGACCCUGGUACCGGGCA